rnacentral:lncRNA from 1 species
CCCAAUUAAAACGCUCCACGUACAUUUCAACUCCCAAAAUGCCCCUUCUCUGUACCUCGAGUAAUAUGUAUGUCCAGGUGACUCGCAUCCUCUUCAACGCUCUCACACACCCAGCAUAUAUAUAUAUAUAUAUAGAGAUAGAUAUAUAGAUAUAGAUAUAGAUAUAGAUAUAGUAUGUGAAAUCUAUCGAAACCCUACUGCGAAAAUAUUACUUUGAUUUUUUCGAGUCGACGCAUCUCGUAAUUAUUCGAAAAUGGACGGAGGGGAUUCAACUCGAGCAUUUCUCAAAGACGUUAAGCGCCUGGUUAUCAAGGUCUACAUUACAUACUCUCCCUAUUAAUUUCUGUAAUUUUAUUAUUUAUUGUUCUUAAUUGAUGUUUUAAGUUUGUUUGUGAACCCUAAUUCUGUGUCAUUGUGAAUUAGUUAAUUAAUUUUGUAUGAUUUAACCUGUUAAUAAUCAUUUUGAACUUCGAUUUAAAUAAAUGGGAUUCUGUUGGUGGACUGUCUAAUUGCUGCACAAUUUAUCUGUAAAUUCUUACUGCAAAAGAGUUGCAAUUUUGAUAAAAUUCUUAACUGAUUUAGGUACUGUUCAUAAGCACUUUGGUAAUGCCUUGCGUGCGUCUUUUCCUUUCUCUAACAAACUUCUUCAAGUUGAAUUAUAUGAAUUUUGAUCAGUGAAAGUUGGGUCUAUGUCCUUUUUGAAGGGUUUUUAAUCUAUAAUUUCAAGCAUUUGAUAGUGUUUUUCAAUGCUGCAAAGUGCUUCGUUGGUUAAAGUUGUGAUCUUCUGCCGUUUUAUAGAUAAUUGUUUCUGCUGUAAUCUUAAUCAAAAUUUGUAUUUAAAGUUAUGGAAGGAUCAUGGUAAGAAGUGAGAGUCAUUUACUGAAAAGAAUUUAGUAGUUAGGAAUGAAAAGCUUUAGAAAAAGUCCCCCUUGGGCCUUUUUCAUUAUUAUUAUUAUUAUUAUUAUUAUUAUUAUUAUUAUUUCCUAGGUGAUAUGAUUAAUUUAACUAGAUUUGUUUCUUAUCUUGACAUGUAAAAAGGAUUGCACCACCGUGUUUGGUACCUUUUGUUGACGUAUAUUGUAUUGCAUAAGAGGUCUUAAUCAAGUUGAUAAUGUUGCUAGGGUCUCCUGUCAUUCCAAAAUAUCUAUCUUCUGAUGUCACGUCCAGAUAUGUUCUGCUUGGGAAACAAUUUUUUCUGUUUCUGUGAGCUAUUUUAUUAUUGUCAUGGGCUCAGCCGCCACCUACCAGGACUAGUAUUAAGAAAUUCAUUUAUUUGUGAUGUUUAUGGUCUUUUCUGCACCUUUCUGGAUUACCUUUUGUUUAGGAAAAAAUCUUUGAAAACUUGAUAACAUCAUAUCAUAAAUACUAAUCUAAUCUAGUCUUGAACUAGUUUCAUCUCAGUCGUUCUAAUAACACCAAACCUAGACGUGAAAAAAACACGCUACAACCCUCAAAUAGCAAGUCACCGUAACAUAAUAACACUGCUAUUAUUUGGUGACAGUAUGAUUACUACAGCGCUGUAGACAGGCUUAACAAUGAUAGUGCCCUGAAUUUUUGGAAUUUG